rnacentral:rRNA from 1 species
CCACGGGGGGCAGCAGUGGGGAAUAUUGGACAAUGGGGGGAACCCUGAUCCAGCCAUGCCGCGUGUGUGAAGAAGGCCCUCGGGUUGUAAAGCACUUUCAGUGAGGAAGAACGCCUGGUGGUUAAUACCCAUCAGGAAAGACAUCACUCACAGAAGAAGCACCGGCUAACUCCGUGCCAGCAGCCGCGGUAAUACGGAGGGUGCGAGCGUUAAUCGGAAUUACUGGGCGUAAAGCGCGCGUAGGUGGCUUGAUAAGCCGGUUGUGAAAGCCCCGGGCUCAACCUGGGAACGGCAUCCGGAACUGUCAAGCUAGAGUGCAGGAGAGGAAGGUAGAAUUCCCGGUGUAGCGGUGAAAUGCGUAGAGAUCGGGAGGAAUACCAGUGGCGAAGGCGGCCUUCUGGACUGACACUGACACUGAGGUGCGAAAGCGUGGGUAGCAAACAGGAUUAGAUACCCUGGUAGUC